UACGAAGGGGGCUAGCGUUGCUCGGAAUCACUGGGCGUAAAGCGCACGUAGGCGGAUUGUUAAGUCGGGGGUGAAAUCCUGGAGCUCAACUCCAGAACUGCCUUCGAUACUGGCGAUCUUGAGUCCGGGAGAGGUGAGUGGAAUUCCUAGUGUAGAGGUGAAAUUCGUAGAUAUUAGGAAGAACACCAGUGGCGAAGGCGGCUCACUGGCCCGGUACUGACGCUGAGGCGCGAAAGCGUGGGGAGCAAACAGG
rnacentral:rRNA from 1 species